rnacentral:rRNA from 1 species
UACGGAGGAUGCGAGCGUUAUCCGGAUUUAUUGGGUUUAAAGGGUGCGUAGGCGGAUUUUUAAGUCAGCGGUAAAAUGUCCGGGCUCAACCCGGGCCGGCCGUUGAAACUGGGGAUCCUGAGUGGGCGAGAAGUAUGCGGAAUGCGUGGUGUAGCGGUGAAAUGCAUAGAUAUCACGCAGAACUCCGAUUGCGAAGGCAGCAUACCGGCGCCCGACUGACGCUGAGGCACGAAAGCGUGGGGAUCGAACAGG